ensembl:snoRNA F32B5.17 ncRNA
UGGUAAAAGCGCAGCCGACAUCAAUCAAGGCUCGUGUUGAAGCUACUGGCCUUUGACGCCUGCUUUGAGUACAUGUAGAAUAACU